CCCUCGGGCAGCGAGGUCUUGUGGGGGACGUUCUGCAAGAGUGGGGUGCGGGGGCCACUGUGAGCCGGUGAGACGGAGGGAGGGAGACAGAAGACAUAGUCGGUCCUGGGAGGCCAGUCUGGGUGGGAACUCCAGACCCUUCUCUCCAGCUGAGAACCUCCUGCCUGGACCAAGGAUGUCCUUGCUGAAAUCGCAACUUCUGCCUCUGACUGCUACCAUCAUGCCACCAAGUUUGCAGGUCAGGAUGAGCUGCUGGACCACCCACGACCCCAUCACCACCUAGAUCAAAAGCAGAGCAAGAUAAAGACCAUUGGCCGGGCGCGGUGGCUCACGCCUGUAAUCCCAGCACUUUGGGAGGCCGAGGCGGGUGGAUCACGAGGUCAAGAGAUCGAGACCAUCCUGGUCAACAUGGUGAAACCCCGUCUCUAC